ACACCUGUUCCCAUGCCGAACACAGAAGUUAAGCUUCUCAGCGCCGAUGGUAGUUGGGGCUUUGCCCCUGCAAGAGUAGGACGCCGCCAGGC
rnacentral:rRNA from 2 species